AUAUAUAUAUAUAGUUGUUCAUUUUAUGGCACUGGCCUCUGGGGGAUUAUAAAUUACUGUUAAUUGGGAAGCUUCUGUCUGGCACUGUACUACUUAUAUGCCUCUGUUUUAUUGUCGGGCCGCGAUUUUACAGUGUUGAACCUUUCAGAGCUCGGUCUGUGCAGGGUGAUUUCUAAAUUUACACCCAUAAUGCUCCAGAGGUCUCUUGUAGUGAUUCACUUGUCUGGCCUCUACCAGUUUGGGUCUUGCAGCAUAUUAACAUAAUAUUUUACUUUUUUCAAUGAACAUAAGCAUAUUAUAACACCCGACUUAACCUCCGCCUUAUUAUUAAUAUAUUCAUUCUUGUGUUUUGGGAGAGGAUUUCUCCUAAGAAUGUAUCCAGCCCCCUGCUUGUGAAAGACCUGAUGUUAUCCACAUAGCUGAUAUCAAAUGCAGUGAACAGUUGGAUUGUAAAGUCUGGGAUGAGCAUAAAAAAAAAAGAUUAUUACAAUCUUGUUUUCUACCAUAUCAGCCAUCCCUAGCCUAGCAGCAUGAUGACACUUCUGUGUGGAUGCAAUGUAAAAGGAAAGUGAAGUGACAUUAGCUUUCAUCAUAGGCACACAAUCAUUCAUAGGAGAGGACAAAGGUUCUUCUAUGUCUGUUUUCACUUUUGAUCUUUUAAACAUGCAGAUAACUGUACAUACAUAUAAUAUAUAUAUAUAUAUAUAUAUAUAUAUAUAUAUAUAUAAUGACUGAUCCUCAUCCACUGGUUGGUAGAGGUCAGCGAUCUUCUGCAAUAUGCUGUUCUAAAUUUUUUUCUACCUGUGUUUAUGUAUUUGGACAUUUUUAAUACCAAUGAAACAGAUUCUCCUUAUUGUGACUGUUUUAUUUCUGGACUUGUGUAUUUAGCCAAUGUACUUAGUUAUGAAAACGGUUUCUGUAAUUGAGUACACCAAUUUAGUUAGUACGAGUACAAAGUUGGGCCUUUAUCAAACCUUGAUGCUGUUUGAUAUUGACACUUUAACUUGCUUCAUCAGAUCUGUUUUUCUACCAUGUUGGGAAAGCCAAAUCAAAUGCUGCUCAUGUCUGAGAAAUACAUAAGUAAUUUAUUAGUUCAAACUGUCUUUUUUUUAAUCCAAGGUAUGAUUCAGUAUUUGGAAGCAUGUAUAAAACAUCAGAAAAAAUGUGGAUGUUGAGUGUUUCGUGUAGUCUGGUGUCUAUUUACUGUUAUAAUCUUCAUCUUUUUUCCUGUGUAUUGAGUUUACUGAAUCAUAACUGCUGCAGUGAGUGUCUGUAUAAUUUGCUCCAUCAUGUGAUACUUAAAAUAAACUAUCAAAGCGAUGUGCUUUUAUCAAAUAGUAGGAUUAUUAUAACAGUUUUGUUUGAUAUAGAGUUCAAUAUUGCUCGAGCACAUACAGUAUGGUCCCUUUUGAGUUGUCUUUGGAGUAUGUUAUGUGGCACUUCCCUUUUAUUAACACCACCACCAAAAGUACUGAUACUGUUUGCUGUUCUGUCUUUUAACAAAUAUAAAUUAUUUAUUUUCCAUCAGUUGUAACAUGCAAAAUAAAGUGAUCCAAGUGGAACUCUU